rnacentral:misc_RNA from 1 species
GAUGAAGAACGUAGUGAAAUGCGAUAAGUAGUGUGAAUUGCAGAAUUCAGUGAAUCAUCGAAUCUUUGAACGCACAUUGCGCCCCUUGGUAUCCCGAGGGGCAUGUCUGUUCGAGCGUCAUUUCACCACUCAAGCCUGGCUUGGUGUUGGGCGACGUCCUCUUUGGGGACGCGCCUCGAAACGCUCGGCGGCGUGGCACCGGCUUUAAGCGUAGCAGAAUCUUUCGCUUUGGAAGUCGGGGCCCCGUCUGCCGGAAGACCUGCUCGCAAGGUUGACCUCGGAUCAGGCAGGGAUACCCGCUGAACUUAAGCAUAUCAAUAAGCGGAGGA